GGACUACUGGGGUAUCUAAUCCUGUUUGCUCCCCACGCUUUCGCACCUCAGCGUCAGUAUCGGACCAGUUGGCCGCCUUCGCCACUGGUGUUCUAGCUAAUAUCUACGAAUUUCACCUCUACACUAGCUGUUCCACCAACCUCUUCCGAACUCAAGAUCGCCAGUAUCGAAGGCAGUUCUGAGGUUGAGCCUCAGGAUUUCACCCCCGACUUAACAAUCCGCCUACGUGCGCUUUACGCCCAGUGAUUCCGAACAACGCUAGCCCCCUUCGUAUUACCGCGGCUGCUGGCAC
rnacentral:rRNA from 1 species